rnacentral:lncRNA from 1 species
AACUGCCUGAAAGAGACCAAACUAGAGGCACAAGGGAUUGCAUCAGUACUUGAGACGUUGACUGCAUACACCCAGGGAAGCACCUCCAUACCAAGACACAGAGAAUGUUUGAUAUUGAAAGAAGAACAAACAAGUAAAAGAUGCACAGAAUAUCUGCCAAAGGGAAGUUACAGAUAUACAUUGGAGACAAUUAAAUACCCUUCCUCCCCUAAAAUAUGAGGCACAUACCCUAUAUUAAAAGACAUCAUAUCUACUGUGAGUUUAAUUGGCCACACAGCAGAGUAGCAACGAACAAGGCUGAAGACAUAGAAGCUAUAUUUUAGAUUCUUCACUAGCAAAACCAGCCUGCAGUUGGAAUUCACCGAGAAUGGAGGCAGGUGUCCAGGCUUGUGGGUUAAUGAACACAUCUUGAAAAGAGGAUAGAUGUGUUUAUCUUAACUUNCGUCCAGGCUUGUGGGCUAAUGAAUGAACACAUCUUGAAAAGAGGAUAGAUGUGAUUAUCUUAACUUGGUGAAAGAAGAAACUAUGGCCUCAAUCUGGCAAUCGCUAUUAGCCAGGAUGGACAGGGAUGCAAAACCAUGCA